rnacentral:rRNA from 1 species
UACGUAGGGUGCGAGCGUUGUCCGGAAUUAUUGGGCGUAAAGAGCUCGUAGGCGGCUUGUCGCGUCGGAUGUGAAAGCCCGGGGCUUAACUCCGGGUCUGCAUUCGAUACGGGCAGGCUAGAGUUCGGUAGGGGAGAUCGGAAUUCCUGGUGUAGCGGUGAAAUGCGCAGAUAUCAGGAGGAACACCGGUGGCGAAGGCGGAUCUCUGGGCCGAUACUGACACUGAGGCACGAAGGCCAGGGGAGCAAACAGG